AUUGAACGCUGGCGGCAGGCCUAACACAUGCAAGUCGAACGAGUGCCGGACGGGUGAGUAAUGUCUGGGAAACUGUCCGCUGGCGGGGGAUAACUCCUGUAAACGGUAGCUAUUACCGCAUCCCAUCGUCUGUGCCCCGAUGGGAUUAGCUCGUAGGUGGGGUAACGGCUCACCUAGGCGACGCUCCCUAGCUGGUCUGAGAGGAUGACCAGCCACACUGGAACGGAGACACGGUCCAGACUCCUACGGGAGGCAGCAGUGGGGAAUAUUGCACAAUGGGCGCAAGCCUGAUGCAGCCAUGCCGCGUGUAUGAAGAAGGCCUUCGGGUUGUAAAGUACUUUCAGCGAGGAGGCGUUACUCGCAGAAGAAGCACCGGCUAACUCCGUGCCAGCAGCCGCGGUAAUAC
rnacentral:rRNA from 1 species